rnacentral:pre_miRNA from 1 species
GAAGUACUUGUCAUCAAAAUGGAUAAAAGGGGAUGUAUCUAGAUGUAUUUUAGUUCUAGAUACAUCUCUUUUUAUCCACUUUGAUGACAAUUAUUUU